rnacentral:rRNA from 1 species
UACGGAGGGUCCAAGCGUUAUCCGGAAUCAUUGGGUUUAAAGGGUCCGCAGGCGGGCUAAUAAGUCAGUGGUGAAAUCUCUCGGCUUAACCGAGAAACUGCCAUUGAUACUGUUAGUCUUGAAUUCGGUCGAAGUGGGCGGAAUAUGUCAUGUAGCGGUGAAAUGCUUAGAUAUGACAUAGAACACCGAUAGCGAAGGCA